UACAGAGACUGCGAGCGUUAUCCGGAUUCACUGGGCGUAAAGGGUGCGCAGGCGGCCGAGUGUGUGAGGCGUGAAAGCCCGGGGCUUAACCCCGGAAUUGCACCUCAAACUACACGGCUAGAGCAUUGGAGAGGGUAGCAGAAUUCAUGGUGUAGCAGUGAAAUGCGUAGAUAUCAUGAGGAAUACCAGAGGCGAAGGCGGCUACCUGGACAAUUGCUGACGCUCAGGCACGAAAGCGUGGGGAGCAAAAGGG
rnacentral:rRNA from 1 species